rnacentral:rRNA from 1 species
GAUGAACGCUGGCGGCGUGCUUAACACAUGCAAGUCGAACGGGAAACCUUUUAUUGAAGCUUCGGCAGAUUUAGAUUGUUUCUAGUGGCGGACGGGUGAGUAACGCGUGGGUAACCUGCCUUGUACAGGGGGAUAACAGUCAGAAAUGACUGCUAAUACCGCAUAAGCGCACAGGACCGCAUGGUCCGGUGUGAAAAACUCCGGUGGUAUAAGAUGGACCCGCGUUGGAUUAGCUAGUUGGUGAGGUAACGGCCCACCAAGGCGACGAUCCGUAGCCGGCCUGAGAGGGUGAACGGCCACAUUGGGACUGAGACACGGCCCAGACUCCUACGGGAGGCAGCAGUGGGGAAUAUUGCACAAUGGGGGAAACCCUGAUGCAGCGACGCCGCGUGAAGGAAGAAGUAUCUCGGUAUGUAAACUUCUAUCAGCAGGGAAGAAAAUGACGGUACCUGACUAAGAAGCCCCGGCUA